rnacentral:rRNA from 1 species
CCUACGGGUGGCAGCAGUGAGGAAUAUUGGUCAAUGGACGAGAGUCUGAACCAGCCAAGUAGCGUGAAGGAUGACUGCCCUAUGGGUUGUAAACUUCUUUUAUAUGGGAAUAAAACGUUCCACGUGUGGGAUUUUGUAUGUACCAUAUGUAUUAGGAUCGGCUAACUCCGUUCCAGCAGCCGCGGUAAUACGGAGGAUCCGAGCGUUAUCCGGAUUUAUUGGGUUUAAAGGGAGCGUAGGUGGAUUGUUAAGUCAGGUGUGAAAGUUUGCGGCUCAACCGUAAAAUUGCAGUUGAAACUGGCAGUCUUGAGUACAGUAGAGGUGAGCGGAAUUCGUGGUGUAGCGGUGAAAUGCUUAGAUAUAACGAAGAACUCCGAUUGCGAAGGCAGUUCACUGGACUGAAACUGACACUGAGGCUCGAAAGUGUGGGUAUCAAACAGGAUUAGAUACCCCGGUAGUC